rnacentral:tRNA from 1 species
GUGAGCAUAGCUCAGUUGGCAGAGACAUGCAUUAUUAUAUGCAGGGGCCGGGGUUCGAACCCCGGACACCCCA